GACAGAGGGUGCAAACGUUGUUCGGAAUUACUGGGCGUAAAGCGCGUGUAGGCGGCCAACUAAGUCGGGCGUGAAAUCCCACGGCUCAACCGUGGAAGUGCACUCGAAACUGGAUGGCUAGAGUCCUGGAGAGGAAGGUGGAAUGCUUGGUGUAGAGGUGAAAUUCGUAGAUAUCAAGCGGAACACCGGUGGCGAAGGCGGCCUUCUGGACAGUGACUGACGGCUGAGA
rnacentral:rRNA from 1 species